UACGUAGGGCGCAAGCGUUGUCCGGAAUUAUUGGGCGUAAAGAGCUCGUAGGCGGUCUGUCGCGUCUGCUGUGAAACCCGAGGCUCAACCUCGGCCUGCAGUGGGUACGGGCAGACUAGAGUGUGGUAGGGAGACUGGAAGUCCGUGGUGUAGCGGUGGAAUGGCGCCAGGAUAGUCAGGAGGAACACCAAUGGCGAAGGCAGGUCUGCUGGGCCACAACGUGACGU
rnacentral:rRNA from 1 species